rnacentral:rRNA from 1 species
UGGGGAAUUUUGGACAAUGGGCGCAAGCCUGAUCCAGCCAUGCCGCGUGGGUGAAGAAGGCCUUCGGGUUGUAAAGCCCUUUCGGCCGGGAAGAAAACGUGCGGGCGAACAGUCUGCAUGGAUGACGGUACCGGAAGAAGAAGCACCGGCUAACUACGUGCCAGCAGCCGCGGUAAUACGUAGGGUGCGAGCGUUAAUCGGAAUUAUUGGGCGUAAAGCGUGCGCAGGCGGCGCCAUAAGACAGCUGUGAAAUCCCCGGGCUUAACCUGGGAACUGCGGUUGUGACUGUGGUGCUAGAGUACGGCAGAGGGAGGUGGAAUUCCUGGUGUAGCAGUGAAAUGCGUAGAGAUCAGGAGGAACACCGAUGGCGAAGGCAGCCUCCUGGGCUGAUACUGACGCUCAUGCACGAAAGAGUGGGGAGCAAACA